rnacentral:tRNA from 1 species
CACGGGAAAUGGUCGGGAUAGCUCAGUUGGUAGAGCAUAGGA